rnacentral:misc_RNA from 1 species
UAUCAGUACAAGUGUUAAUGAUGCUUUAUGCUUUAUGCUAUUUGAUUAUGCUACCAUUUUCUGUAAGAAAGGAACAAAGAAAAUUGUAAAAUGAUCUUGACUGGUUAUGAAAGACCAUGUCAACUUAAUUUGAACAAAUCAUACCAUUCAUGAACAUCCUAUUAGAUGGAAUAUGCAAGUAGAUGGGAUUCAAAUUCAAUUAUCCGAUAGAAUGAUAAAUGAUACCACCAAAUUCAACAUCUUUUAUUCAUCCUCUGAGAUGAUUAGUCAAGGUUACAGUAAGUUCAUAUGCAAUUCAUUAAGGUUUAAGACCAAG